rnacentral:rRNA from 1 species
AUGAGGGCAACCAGCCAGCUACACCUCCUACCGCAGCUGCUCUUGAUCACUUUCUUCCUCCUUUGGGCCCAAACCCCCGCCGCCUCCGGUGUCCGUGACAGGUUCGAGAAGGGCCAGAACCUCACCGACGGCGACACGCUCGUCUCGCCGGACGGCUCCUUCACCCUGGGGUUCUUCUCUCCCGGGGCGUCCACCAAGAGCAAGAGGUACCUCGGCAUAUGGUUCUCCGUGUCCAACGACACCGUCUGCUGGGUCGCCAACCGCGACCAGCCUCUGCUCGACAAGUCCGGCACGCUGGUGUUCGACGACCUGAGCAGCCUCGUCCUGGUCGAUGGCUCUCGCCGGACGGCGUGGUCACCGAACUUCAUGGCCGCCUCCGCCGCGGUGGUUCAGCUUCUCGACUCCGGCAACCUGGUCGUGCACAAUGACAGCAGCGACGCCGCCCUGUGGCAGUCGUUCGACCACCCGUCGGACACCUUGCUGCCCGACAUGAAGCUGGGCAAGGACCUCUGGACCGGAGCCGAGUGGCAGCUCACGGCGUGGAGCUCCGCCGACGACCCGUCUCCGGGGGCCUACCGCCGCACGCUGGAGACCAAGGGGCUGCCGGACAUCGUCCUGUGGCAAGGAGACGUGAAGAGGUACCGCACGGGCCCGUGGAACGGGCUCUACUUCAACGGCGUCCCGGAGGUGACGGCGUACGCGGACAAGUACACGCUGCGGGCGACGACGAGCCCGUGGGAGAUAACCUACGGGUACACCGCCAAGCCCGGCGCGCCGCUGACCCGCGUCGUGGUGAACCACACCGGCGACGUGGAGCGGCUGAUGUGGGACGCGGGCAUCCGGGCGUGGAAGCCCUUGUUCAAGGGGCCGCGGGACCAGUGCGACACCUACGCGCGGUGCGGGCCGUUCGGCCUCUGCGACCCCGAGGCGGCGUCGUCGGGGUUCUGCGGCUGCGUCGUGGGGUUCAGCAGGCCUGCUGCCGCCGGGACCCCGUCGCUGUCGGCUCAGGAGGUGAAGGACACCGCGGCGGGCGGGUGCCGACGAGACGCGGCGCUGGACUGUGCCGGCGGGGCGACGACGGACGGCUUCGCGGUGGUGCGGCGCGUGAAGCUUCCUGACACGCAGAACGCGUCGGUGGACAUGAACGUCACCCUAGAGGGGUGCAGGGCGAGGUGCCUCGCCGACUGCUCGUGCCGGGCCUACGCCGCGGCCGAUAUCCGGGGAGGCGGCGACGGCACCGGCUGCGUCAUGUGGGCGGAUGCCAUCGUUGAUCUACGCCUCGUCGACAGGGGGCAGGAUCUCUUCCUGAGGCUGUCAAAAUCAGAAUUCGAUGACCAGAAAGAGUUUCCUACUCUACUUGUUGUCGCACCCGUAGCUUCUGGUGUCGUUGUUCUUCUGGUCGUCUCUCUGAUUUGGUGGAGACGGAAACGCAGAAUCAUAGGUGCUAUCCCUCAGAAUCCUGCUAUGGCCGUUCCUUCAGUUAAUCUAAGCAUUAUAAAGGAGGUCACUGAAACCUUCUCUGAAAGUAACAUUAUAGGCCAGGGCGGAUUUAGUAUCAUUUACAAGGGGCUGCUGCCUGAAGGAAGAAUGAUCGCUGUCAAGAGGCUUAAACAGUCAGCACUAACCACGAAAGGCAAGAAGGAUUUCGGGAGAGAAGUGGAAGUGAUGGCCGGGCUCCGGCAUGGCAAUCUUGUUCGUCUCCUUGCUUACUGUAACGAAGGCAAGGAGAGAAUACUCAUCUAUGAACACAUGCAGAACAAGAGCCUGAACGUCUACAUAUUCGGUAUACCUAAACUACGUGCUUUAUUGAACUGGGCAAGAAGGUUGGAGUUAUUGCAUGGCAUCGCGCAUGGUGUUGCGUACCUACAUGGAGGAUCGGGUGAGAGUGUAAUCCACCGGGACCUCAAGCCCGGGAACAUUCUCCUAGACGAUGAGUGGAAGCCUAAAAUUGCCGACUUUGGCACCGCCAAGCUGUUUGUCGUCGACCAGGCAGGGCCUGAUCAAACAAUUGUAGUUUCACCGGGAUACGCAGCUCCAGAGUAUGCACGGAGAGGGGAUAUGACGCUGAAGUGUGAUGUCUACAGCUUCGGAGUCGUCCUCUUGGAGACACUCAGCGGGGAAAGGAAUGGUGGCUUGCAGAGGCUCCUUUCUCAUGCAUGGGAACUGUGGGAACAGAACAGGACCGUGGAGCUUCUCGACACCGCAGUGGUGCCACUCGCCAAGUCCGAGCCUGAGCUAUUGUCUGAGCUAAAACGAUGCAUCCAAAUUGGGCUCCUCUGUGUCCAGGAGACGCCCUGCGAAAGGCCAACCAUGUCCACGGUUGUCGCUAUGCUGACUAGCACGGCGUCGCAAAUCGAUCGGCCGAGAAGGCCGGUGCUGGAUAGGAUAGGAGCUGUGCAACCGUCGAAUUCGUCGCUUGGGCUCGAGACUGAUCUUUUGAGCCCCACUACUAUUAAUUUGACGUAA